rnacentral:rRNA from 1 species
CUCAGUUCGGAUUGGAGGUCUGCAACUCGACUCCAUGAAGCUGGAUUCGCUAGUAAUCGCGCAUCAGCCAUGGCGCGGUGAAUACGUUCCCGGGCCUUGUACACACCGCCCGUCAAGCCAUGGGAGUCGGGAGUGCCUGAAGUUCGUGACCGUAUAGGAGCGACCUAGGGCAAGACUGAUGACUGGGGCUAAGUCGUAACAAGGUAAC